rnacentral:rRNA from 1 species
CCUACGGGGAGCAGCAGUGGGGAAUAUUGCACAAUGGGGGAAACCCUGAUGCAGCGACGCCGCGUGAAGGAAGAAGUAUUUCGGUAUGUAAACUUCUAUCAGCAGGGAAGAAAAUGACGGUACCUGACUAAGAAGCCCCGGCUAACUACGUGCCAGCAGCCGCGGUAAUACGUAGGGGGCAAGCGUUAUCCGGAUUUACUGGGUGUAAAGGGAGCGUAGGCGGCGAUGCAAGUCAGAAGUGAAAGCCCGGGGCUCAACUCCGGGACUGCUUUUGAAACUGUGUUGCUAGAGUGCAGGAGAGGUAAGUGGAAUUCCUAGUGUAGCGGUGAAAUGCGUAGAUAUUAGGAGGAACACCAGUGGCGAAGGCGGCUUACUGGACUGUAAAUGACGCUGAGGCUCGAAAGCGUGGGGAGCAAACAGGAUUAGAUACCCCAGUAGUC